UGGGGAAUAUUGGACAAUGGGCGCAAGCCUGAUCCAGCAACGCCGCGUGAGUGACGAAGGCCUUCGGGUCGUAAAGCUCUGUGGGAGGGGACGAAUAAGCUUCGCGCUAAUCAGCGGGGCCUUGACAGUACCUUCUUAGCAAGCACCGGCUAACCUCGUGCCAGCAGCCGCGGUAAUACGAGGGGUGCAAGCGUUGUUCGGAAUUACUGGGCGUAAAGCGUGAGGAGGCGGUUCGCUAAGUCUGAUGUGAAAGCCCUGGGCUUAACCCAGGAACUGCAUCGGAAACUGGUGGACUAGAGUUCGGGAGAGGGUCGUGGAAUUCUUGGUGUAGAGGUGAAAUUCGUAGAUAUCAAGAGGAACACCGGUGGCGAAGGCGGCGACCUGGACCGACACUGACGCUAAUACACGAAAGCACGGGGAGCAAA
rnacentral:rRNA from 1 species